UCUAGAGAACUCCAAUUUCCUCCCGUCUCCUCUCUCACAUCCCAUCCCGUCUCUCGCAGUGGCCGAUGGACUCCAAUGGGCGGCGGCCCUUGAGAAGCUUUUCCUUCCUCAGGCCGGCGUCCUCCUACCUCUUCCUAGCGGUGGAGGGGCCAAACGAGGCAUCCAUUACCACUGCACACCCUCCUCUCCUUCACGCCGCGGCUGGUGACGUGGAGGAGCUCCGUGCCCCCUCUCCCUGUCGUGGUGGUUGGCGAUGCGGCGGUGGAUCUCCACAUCCUCCUUUCCCUCCCGGGAGACAUGGCUACGGGAGGAUUUGACGUGCUUCCUCCUAGAUGUACUUACCCUAAUCCUAAUGCAUCACAAGUCGGUCGUGUGCUUCACCAUCCAGCACUGUCACGAUCUCCUCCUGGCUGGUUGCAGUGGCGUGGCUUUGCCUGCAGCAUCCCCUCAGCUAGACAACAACAAUCGACUUUGCCGCCUGGUCCAGUUUGUGGUGGUUCGCCUUCAAUCUCGCCAGAUGGGCGGUCAUGCGGUCGCUAGAUGGCAAGCAGCGCUGCCGCAUGUUCCUGACCUGAUCUGGAUCAUGGCCUCACUUGGAAGCCACUCUGCCGUCAGUAUCGUGGAACGUGGGGCGCGGUGCUCCAUCAACGGAUGUUCCCAUGUGAGGACUGGAGCUGGUAAUAGAGAGAAGUGGUUGCCCUCUACUUCAUCGCUGAUGCCUGGCGACGAAAACAUCGAUUGGCUUCAUUGCCUCGGGUUUGCUUCAAGUUACUCCACCUUCCAUGUGCAGUUUUCCAGUCUCUUCAAUUAAUUGGUUGGUCGUUUGUCUUGCAAGAUUAUGUGGCUGACCGCUCUUGGAGGAAGCUGUCGCUGCUCAAAAUCCUGGAAGCCACUAACAAUAGCAAUUCAUAUCAAUCUAUCAUUACUAACAAUGUCCAGCAAAUGGGUCUAGCUCGAACUGAACAUUGUUCAGACGCAUGGCCUCUAUAUGUGUUGCAGAGAGAAAGAGGUUUGUGGAUGCACAAACCUGAUUAAAUCGAGGUGAAUCAAUCCACUUCUAAGUUAUUCUCUAUUUCCCUAUUCCACUUGCAAUUUGUGUAAAAUUUUCUGUGCAUAUAGUCUGUGUUCUUUUUUUCUUCCAUCACUUGCUCACAUAUCAUUUCAUUCAAAGAAUAAAUCUGCAAGAAGUGUCAUCCCUCACAGUUUCAGUAUUCAUCCUCGGGUGUAGAAGUUAUCCUUCAUCGAGCCAAGACAACAUCAUUAUAUAUUGUCUUUGAUUUCGGGCUUACAGGUUCUGUCUUAUCCCAAAAUAUCAUGGAUAUUGCCGUUUAAAAGUCUUUUGGCUUAGAUGUAGUCUGGCCCCAAACAUUAGUGUCCUUUUAAAUUCUUUUUUGAGCUUUAAUGUUCGUUCAAAUAGUCAGUAUGUCCAUGUAGGAAUGCACAUUAUUCCAUUAUUUGUAGCUUGAUAUAGGAACUCUGUACAUUCCAAGGCUUAUAAAAGAUUUCUUCACCUUAAGUCAAUCUAGGCACAAUCAAUUUAUAAGGAGAUUCACUAGCUCUAUAAGCUAAUUGUCUGAGCUAGGGUUCUCUCGGCUUGACAAAAGAAUUGAAUGCAUGAACGGAUGGCAUAAUGGUUUUUCCCUUCCCAAUUACUGUCUACCUAUUGAUUUAUAAGAAUUACAUACAAUCGAACAAAAUAAUUCAGUACUAUCGGUGAGUUUUCUAGCAUUGGCGUCUUGCUGUUAAACAGAGCAGAAGCAAAAUUUGUAUUGAUAAGGAAUAGUAUGAUUGGUAUUAAAGGUGAACCUUAUCUUCAUCUCAUCCUGCAAAUUUGAGGUGAAUUUCCCUGCUUCCUGUUUUGUCAACAUUUGUAGGAUAUUAUAUGUUUGUUUGGGCUAACUACGAUAUCAACACACUGUUUAUUUAUUGCUUUUCAUCUUCGCAUAUUCAGCACUAGUAGUAUGCGGUUCGAACCAUCGUCUCUGAAACUGUUAGCCCCUGGUAGUGUUUCAAAGGUAUACUUUGCAUGAAUUGGAAGGGUUUCCUACUUCCAGUAGGUUUAAGGAAAUUCUCAUCGUAACAAUGUCAGCUUUGCAUGAGGUAGCUAUUUAUUUCGGAAAGAGUAUGUGCCUUUCUGUUUGAAUUAGAUCGAUUCUUACUUAUCCGCCUUUAAAAAGAGUUCUGCGUUGUUUGCUUUUCUAGGCAAUAUCCAAAUGCACCCGGAUUGUUCUUCGUUCGCCUCUGAUCCUUUUGUUAGUUCUUCGGAUAGUUUGAGGAAGGACUAUAUUGUUCUUCGUUUGCUUUUUUUAUAGACAGGCCACUUGACGUUGCUCGGUGAGAGUGGUGAGGCUCUCAUAGGCAGAGAGGCAGACCUUCUUGCUCCACUUACUAAAGGCCGUCAUAAUUAUGUCCGUGCUGCCAUUACUGCUAUGGUUGGCAAGCAAUGCACCGUGAUCACCAAGGUAGACCAGGAGACCUACGAUGCUGAUCGUGGGAUAGUGUUUCUUACUGUCUCGAAGGCCCAGCUAAUCACUGAUUCAGUGACAGCACUAGGCUCUUCUACCCACACUAGCCUUGCAAUAGCCGAUAAGGCAAUUGUGCCACCCGAUUACCCUAAAAGCACACAGAGCCACCUCCCAGAAGGCUGCGGCUCACAGACAACACCUCCAAAGGAUAUAAUUGAACCAACUGAUGCUGACGAGGAAGAGGACAUGGGAAAGGCAACCAAAGACAAGAAAAGGAAGAACACCAACGAAAAAGGACCUACAAGGCAUUAUUCAAAUGGAAGCAGUAACAUUAGCGUUCUCAGAAUGCCAUCAAAGGACGAGGCUAGGACAAGUGCAUUGUCAAGGAAAUCAAGCAAGUAAACCACCUUGCUGCAUAUGAAGCUUCUCAUCAAUCUACGAGCUUACGCUAUUAGUUUUACGCUAUUAGUUGUACUAAUCUUAUCUAAUACCAUCCUAGGUGAAUAUCUCCAGUUUUCCUAAGAUUGCAUAUGUAAACCUCAAUGUGUCAGUGUUUGCUGUUAAGAGCACCAGUAUGAUUAUCUAUGUAUAAUUAUCCAGUGUGUAAACCUUUAUCCACUACUAUGUACCUUAAGACUUGAUGAAACACCAGCUUUCUAGCUAUACUGCCGCUUUACCCUUUAGUAUUGUACUUCCUUCCGCUGGCUUACGUGUACUGCAGCAACUCCAUCAGUUCUUACUAAGGCUGCUAACUGCUGCAUUAUUA